rnacentral:hammerhead_ribozyme from 1 species
AUCCAGCUGAUCAGUCUCAAAUAGGACGAAAUACGUAUCAAACUGGAU